GACGAACGCUGGCGGCGUGCCUAACACAUGCAAGUCGAACGGAGAUACGAUUUCGGUUGUAUCUUAGUGGCGAACGGGUGAGUAACGCGUGAGCAACCUGUCCUUUAGAGGGGGAUAACACUUGGAAACAGGUGCUAAUACCGCAUAAGACCACGACCCGACAUCGGGAUGAGGUCAAAGGAGUAAUCCGCUAGAGGAGGGGCUCGCGUCCCAUUAGAUAGAUGGCGGGUAACGGCCCACCAUGUCGACGAUGGUAGCCGAGCUGAGAGGCUGAUCGGCCACACUGGAACUGAGACACGGUCCAGACUCCUACGGGAGGCAGCAGUGGGAAUAUUGGGCAAUGGGCGCAAGCCUGACCCAGCAACGCCGCGUGAGGGAAGAAGGCCUCGGUUGU
rnacentral:rRNA from 1 species